rnacentral:rRNA from 1 species
CCUACGGGAGGCAGCAGUGAGGAAUAUUGGUCAAUGGCCGGAAGUCUGAACCAGCCAUGCCGCGUGAAGGUCAGUGCCCUAUGGGCGUUAAACUUCUUUUGUUCGGGAGCAAUAAUGGUCACGUUUGGCCAGCCUAGAUUACCGUACGAAUCAGCAUCGGCUAACUCCGUGCCAGCAGCCGCGGUAAUACGGGGGAUGCAAGCGUUAUCCGGAUUUAUUGGGUUUAAAGGGUGCGUAGGCUGUGAGGUAAGUCAGCGGUGAAAUGCCCCCGCUCAACGGGGUGAAGUGCCAUUGAUACUGCGAGACUAGAGUAAUGGAGGGGGGACCGGAAUUCUCGGUGUAGCAGUGAAAUGCGUAGAUAUCGAGAGGAACACUCGUGGCGAAGGCGGGUUCCUGGACAUUAACUGACGCUGAGGCACGAAGGCCAGGGGAGCGAAAGGGAUUAGAUACCCGAGUAGUC